UACAGAGGGUGCGAGCGUUAAUCGGAAUUACUGGGCGUAAAGCGCACGUAGGCGGCUUGGUAUGUCAGGUGUGAAAUCCCCGGGCUCAACCUGGGAACUGCAUCCGAAACUGCCUUGCUCGAGUAUGGGAGAGGGAAGUGGAAUUUCCGGUGUAGCGGUGAAAUGCGUAGAUAUCGGAAGGAACAUCAGUGGCGAAGGCGACUUCCUGGACCAAUACUGACGCUCAGGUGCGAAAGCGUGGGGAGCAAACAGG
rnacentral:rRNA from 1 species